AAGGUUUUAAGUUAAAAAAACUAAUAGCCUUCAAAGCUAUAAAUAUUAGUAUAAAUCUUUUAAGCCUUA
rnacentral:tRNA from 1 species